rnacentral:rRNA from 1 species
AGGGCUUCGCAGGCGGUUUUUUAAGUUCUGAUUGUGAAAGCCCCCCGGCUUCAACCGGGGAGGGUCAUUGGAAACUUGGGGAACUUGAGUGCAGAAGAGGAGAGUGGAAUUCCACGUGUAGCGGUGAAAUGCGUAGAGAUGUGGAGGAACACCAGUGGCGAAGGCGACUCUCUGGUCUGUAACUGACGCUGAGGAGCGAAAGCGUGGGGAGCGAACAGGAUUAGAUACCCUGGUAGUCCACGCCGUAAACGAUGAGUGCUAAGUGUUAGGGGGUUUCCGCCCCUUAGUGCUGCAGCUAACGCAUUAAGCACUCCGCCUGGGGAGUACGGUCGCAAGACUGAAACUCAAAGGAAUUGACGGGGGCCCGCACAAGCGGUGGAGCAUGUGGUUUAAUUCGAAGCAACGCGAAGAACCUUACCAGGUCUUGACAUCCUCUGACAAUCCUAGAGAUAGGACGUCCCCUUCGGGGGCAGAGUGACAGGUGGUGCAUGGUUGUCGUCAGCUCGUGUCGUGAGAUGUUGGGUUAAGUCCCGCAACGAGCGCAACCCUUGAUCUUAGUUGCCAGCAUUCAGUUGGGCACUCUAAGGUGACUGCCGGUGACAAACCGGAGGAAGGUGGGGAUGACGUCAAAUCAUCAUGCCCCUUAUGACCUGGGCUACACACGUGCUACAAUGGACAGAACAAAGGGCAGCGAAACCGCGAGGUUAAGCCAAUCCCACAAAUCU